GCAGUGGUAGCUCAGCGAUUAAGACAUCGGACUAUUAAUCAGAAGGUUGUGAGUUCAAAUCCCAGCUGCACCA